rnacentral:rRNA from 1 species
ACACGGAGGAUGCAAGCGUUAUCCGGAAUGAUUGGGCGUAAAGGGUCCGCAGGUGGCCGUGUAAGUCUGCUGUUAAAGAAUCUAGCUCAACUAGAUAAAAGCAGUGGAAACUACACAGCUAGAGUGCGUUCGGGGUAGAGGGAAUUCCUGGUGUAGCGGUGAAAUGCGUAGAUAUCAGGAAGAAAACCAGUGGCGAAGGCGCUCUACUAGGCCGCAACUGACACUGAGGGACGAAAGCUAGGGGAGCGAAUGGGAUUAGAUACCCCAGUAGUCCUAGCCGUAAACGAUGGAUACUAGGCGUGGCUUGUAUCGACCCGAGCCGUGCCGGAGCUAACGCGUUAAGUAUCCCGCCUGGGGAGUACGCACGCAAGUGUGAA